GGAAAUUUAGUACCGAAGUUCCUGAUUCCACACUGCCAAGAAAAGCCUCUAGCGAGGGAAAAGGUGCCCGUACCGCAAACCGACACAGGUAGGCGAGGAGAGAAUCCUAAGGUGAGCGAGAGAACUCUCGUUAAGGAACUCGGCAAAAUGACCCCGUAACUUCGGGAGAAGGGGUGCUCAUUAGGGUGAAUAGCCCUGAUGAGCCGCAGUGAAUAGGCCCAGGCGACUGUUUAGCAAAAACACAGGUCUCUGCGAAGCCGCAAGGCGAAGUAUAGGGGCUGACGCCUGCCCGGUGCUGGAAGGUUAAGAGGAGAGGUUAGCGCAAGCGAAGCUUUGAAUCGAAGCCCCAGUAAACGGCGGCCGUAACUAUAACGGUCCUAAGGUAGCGAAAUUCCUUGUCGGGUAAGUUCCGACCCGCACGAAAGGCGUAACGAUCUGGGCACUGUCUCAACGAGAGACUCGGUGAAAUUAUAGUACCUGUGAAGAUGCAGGUUACCCGCGACAGGACGGAAAGACCCCGUGGAGCUUUACUGUAGCCUGAUAUUGAAUUUUGGUACAGCUUGUACAGGAUAGGUAGGAGCCUGAGAAGCCGGAGCGCCAGCUUCGGUGGAGGCGUCGGUGGGAUACUACCCUGGCUGUAUUGAAAUUCUAACCCGCGCCCCUUAUCGGGGCGGGAGACAGUGUCAGGUGGGCAGUUUGACUGGGGCGGUCGCCUCCUAAAAAGUAACGGAGGCGCCCAAAGGUUCCCUCAGAAUGGUUGGAAAUCAUUCGCAGAGUGUAAAGGCACAAGGGAGCUUGACUGCGAGACCUACAAGUCGAGCAGGGACGAAAGUCGGGCUUAGUGAUCCGGUGGUUCCGCAUGGAAGGGCCAUCGCUCAACGGAUAAAAGCUACCCCGGGGAUAACAGGCUUAUCUCCCCCAAGAGUCCACAUCGACGGGGAGGUUUGGCACCUCGAUGUCGGCUCAUCGCAUCCUGGGGCUGUAGUCGGUCCCAAGGGUUGGGCUGUUCGCCCAUUAAAGCGGUACGCGAGCUGGGUUCAGAACGUCGUGAGACAGUUCGGUCCCUAUCCGUCGUGGGCGCAGGAAAUUUGAGAGGAGCUGUCCUUAGUACGAGAGGACCGGGAUGGACGCACCGCUGGUGUACCAGUUGUCUUGCCAAAGGCAUCGCUGGGUAGCUAUGUGCGGAAGGGAUAAGUGCUGAAAGCAUCUAAGCAUGAAGCCCCCCUCGAGAUGAGAUUUCCCAUAGCGUCAAGCUAGUAAGAUCCCUGAAAGAUGAUCAGGUUGAUAGGUCAGAGGUGGAAGCGUGGCGACAUGUGGAGCUGACUGAUACUAAUCGAUCGAGGACUUAACCAAG
rnacentral:rRNA from 1 species